AAAUUGAAUGGCAAUUGGCCAUUUCUUCAAGCCACAACAAUUAAGGCAAAAAACCUAAUACCCUAUACUUUCCCCUUAUUCUGCCAAUUCUCUUCCCUCUCAAACACUAAGCUACACAUUCAAGCUUGGGGAAUGAUUUUUCAGCCUUGAAAUCUCUUCUUGGCUUCGAUUCAAACAAAGCAAAAAGGAGAUUUAUGGCGUAUUUGCCAGGUGUGGUCAGGGGCGUGAAGGGCAAUGACAGAGGCGUGGUGGCCGAGCAGAGGGUAUGGGGCGAUGGCAGACAGUAUGGGCGAUUGAACUUGGGGGCUAGGGUUUGUCGGCUGAGAAAUUUUAGGACUAGUUGGGCUAAGGUUUAGUUUUGGGCUUAGGUAUAUUGGGCUGUUAUAUUUGUUUAUGGGACCGGGCAAUAUUGGGCCUGUACAUGUCGUACUCUUUACCAAGGGUCCAUUUAAAAAUAAUAUCGAGAAAAAUAUUGAUAUUGCAAUUAAUAAAAUAUAGACCUAAAAAUAGCUUUGAAGUUAAA